rnacentral:rRNA from 1 species
UACGUAGGGGGCAAGCGUUGUCCGGAAUCAUUGGGCGUAAAGAGCGUGUAGGCGGCUCGGUAAGUCCGCUGUGAAAGUCCAGGGCUCAACCCUGGAAUGCCGGUGGAAACUGUCGAGCUAGAGUCCGGAAGAGGCGAGUGGAAUUCCUGGUGUAGCGGUGAAAUGCGCAGAUAUCAGGAGGAACACCGAUGGCGAAGGCAGGUCUCUGGGCUGUAACUGACGCUGAGGAGCGAAAGCAUGGGGAGCGAACAGG